rnacentral:rRNA from 1 species
GGGAGGGGCGCAAGCGUUGUUCGGAAUCAUUGGGCGUAAAGCGCGUGUAGGCGGCUUGGCAAGUCGGGGUGUGAAAGCCCGGGGCUCAACCCCGGAAUUGCACUCGAUACUGCCCUCGCUAGAGUCCCGGAGAGGGUGGCGGAAUUCCCGGUGUAGAGGUGAAAUUCGUAGAUAUCGGGAGGAACACCAGCGGCGAAGGCGGCCACCUGGACGGUGACUGACGCUGAGACGCGAAAGCGUGGGGAGCAAACAGGAUUAGAUACCCUAGUAGUCCACGCCGUAAACGUUGGGUGCUAGGCGCUGCGGGUAUUGACCCCUGCAGUGCCGACGUUAACGCAUCAAGCACCCCGCCUGGGGAGUACGGUCGCAAGAUUA